UUUUUUUUAACUUAAGCUUAAUAAGUUAAUUUAUCUUUAUUUUUAACUUAUGCAUAAAUAAAUUUUAACUCAUGAAAGAUUAAUUUUCACUUUUUUUUAUUUUUCUCUUCAAAUAUAUUCUAAGCCUAUAAAUUAUCAGUUUUUUUUUUCAACAAAUAAUUAAUUAAAUUAAAAAAUAAAAGGGACACUUCAGGGUGUCCCAACCCUUAUACAACCUACUCUCUACAUAGUCAUGCAUCCUAAUCAGAAUACUAUAUUUUACAAAUAGUUCAUGACAGAAUAGAGAUUACAAUUAAAAAGUUUGUUUCCCUUUUGUGGGUUUUUAUCCACUCCCUAAGAUAUCAGCACUCUGCAUAAUUUGUUGCUUUAUACCAGCAAACUUCUCAUGAAUCCUCAGCAAAGAACUGUUUCACCGUGAUCACAUUUGGCAGUUGUUGCUCUUCCUAAUUAUUACUUCUCUUUUCUCUUCAUUUACCUUUCGUCUUUCCCUUCCCCCACUUUCUUAAAAUAUGUUGUCGCGGAUGUGUGCCUUCUACCUAGCUGUAUCAAUGACUGCCAUCUCCUUUUCACGCUCUCUCCCUUUCUCAACAUCUCAUUUUCUCCCCCUUACUUUGCUGUAGAUCUGCAUGAAAUUCUAGCCAAUACUAGCUUUUGUUGCCCAUAAAAACAACACUUCUGAUUCCUCCCUGUAGAAAACUGCUUCUUUGUCCUCUGAUACUUAUCAUUGACAGCUCCUGAUAGUGGCCUUAUACCACAGAGGCCCAUUAGAAAGAUAUCCAAGCCCACAUGGUUAAAAGAUUUCAUCAUCUAGGGUUAUUUAUGUUUUUGUCUGGUUGUGAGGAUCUGAAAAGAUUUUGUUGUUUUGGAAUUCUGUUAGCUUAGGCCAGCUAUCUACCAGAAAUGGUCUUUAUAAGACCAUCGUUAAAAGAAAAGGACAAGGAGUUUUUGUUUUAAAUUUUAAUAGUUUUUCCAGGGAGUCUUCAUCCCUGUCCGUAGUCCUGGUGUUUAAUCCCUUUCUUUUGGUUUUUUUAAGCAACUACGUAUCAAUUGGUGCUUUCGUUGAGAGUGCACCAUGGUUCCUAAACCAAACAAAGACCUAGAUGAAACUUUACAGGCCAUUCUAGAAAAAUUAGUUAACCUCCAAACCCAACUCCAUAACACCCAUGAACAUCAUGAAAAUUAAUACAGUAGCCUCCACUAAUCCUUAGAAAACUGCUAAAUAGCUUUGGAAACAAAACAUGAAACUCUCACCCACACCAUCAACACCCUCUUAACUGCCAUACCUACAACUCUUUUUCAACACAACGAUCAGGCCCCAAACCCUCCUAUACCUUUUCCUGUAGAGACGACAUCACCUAUCCCACCAUCAGGCUCUAACGCUACCACAUCUACCACUCCAACCAUCUUUCCCCCACCACAUUCUUCUCCCCCUCCGCUCCUAACCAUGCCUAGACCACCCAAAUUACAACUCUCAUUUUUUGAUGGCUCAGAUCCCCUGGAUUGGCUCUUCCAAGUUGAUCAGUUUUUCCAAUUUUAUAACAUAGCUUGGGAGUCUCGCUUAAACAUGACGGAUUUUUAUAUGUGUGGUGAUGCUCUAAGUUGGUUCAAGUGGAUGUAUCAAAAUCAUCAACUCAGUGAUUGGAUUUCCUUCGACUGUGCACUAGAACUACGUUUUGGGCCCUCCACUUAUGCUAAUCAUCAAGCAUAACUGUUCAAAUUACGUCAAAAUAGCACUGUUACUGAGUACCAGAGAACAUUUGAAAAGCUAUGCAAUCGGGUUUUAGGUCUCACUCCAGAAAUGAUCCUAAACUGUUUCAUCUCGGGCCUUAUUCCAGAAAUCAGACGUGAGAUAGCGGUACUCCAACCUACUUCCAUCACCCAAGCCAUGGGUCUUGCCAAACUCUUGGAAUCCUAGAAUAAUGACACCAAGCGUUUUAUACGCUCCUUAACCAUUCUGCCUCAGCCAUCAUAACACUUGUUAGCCCGACCCCGACCCCCUUUUCUUCAACCAGCUACACCAUCCACAUCAUCACCUCUACCUAUAAAAAAACUUACUUCAACCCAACUUCAAGAGAGAAGAGUAGCGAGACUGUGUUACAAUUGUGAUGAGAAAUUUUUUCCUGGUCACAAAUGUGCAACCAAACGUUUUUUGUUGUUGCUGGGAGACGAAGGCCCAUCAAAUACACCACCCGAUACCCUUUCCACCUUAGAUAAUGACCAAGUAACCAUGGACGCCUCUCACAUCCACCUAUCUCUUCAAGCAUUAUCAGGUACACCUUCAACACACACAUUUAAGUUCCAAGGCCACAUUGCCAGUCUUCCAGUCACUAUCUAAAUCGACACGGGCAACUCUCACAAUAUCCUCCAACCUCGCCUUGCCUUGUUUCUUAACCUUUGUACUCUCCCAAUCACACUCUUCUCCAUAAUGGUUGGCAAUGGUGAGAAAAUACAUUGCUCAUCUAUAUGCCCCAACAUCACCAUUUCCAUUCAACAACAUUGUUUCUCCAUGCGUUUCUACUUAAUCCCUAUUGAAGGUGUUGAUGUAGUCCUUGACAUGGACUGGUUACGUUCUCUGGGACCUAUACAAGCAGAUUUCUCCACACCUCAACUCUCUUUCAACCACAAUGGCCUUCCCAUCACUCUACGAGGUACCACUAAGCUUUUAAAUAACCAUGUUUUGGCCACCAACAUUUGUCACCUAUUACACACCAAGUCCGUAGCAUCUUUUCAUCUCUUAGUCUUCCAACCGGACCUCCAUUCCCAUGCUCCACCUCCAUCUAAUAUCAACCCUCACGUUACCAACCUCUUUCACAUUUACCAAUCAGUUUUUUUCACUCCCCAUGGCCUACCCUCAGACCGCCCACACAACCACCGAAUACCCCUACUACCAAAUUCUCCACCAGUAAAUAUCAAGCCCUACCGUUACCCACAUGCCCAUAAACAUACCAUGACUUGACUCAUCCAAUAAAUGCUAAAGGAAGGUCUUAUCGCCCGAGCAAUAGCCCUUUCUCUUCACCGGUUAUCCUUAUAAAAAAAAAGAUGGGUCGUGGAGAUUUUGUGUUGAUUACAAGGCUUUGAAUGCUAUUACAGUGAAAGAUAGAUUCCCCAUUCCAACUAUUGAUGAAUUACUGGAUGAGUUAAGAGAAGCUAGGGUGUUUACUAAGUUGGAUUUAAGGUCUGGAUAUCACCAGAUCAGAGUACACUCCACUGAUUGCCAUAAAACUGCUUUUCGAACCUUUGAUGGUCAUUAUGAGUUUCUAGUUAUGUCGUUUGGGCUUUCUAAUGCCCCUUCUACCUUUCAAGCGGCCAUGAAUGACCUCCUAAGACCACAUCUAAGGCAAUUUGUGCUAGUUUUCUUUGAUGACAUUCUUAUCUACAAUAAAUCCAUGCUCGAACAUAUCCAACACCUUACCAUUACUCUCCAAUUACUUCAAGACAACCAAUUUUUUGUCAAAGAAUCCAAGUGCAUGUUUGCAACACCUAGGGUUUCCUAUUUGGGCCAUAUCAUUCAAGCAGGGACUGUGGCCCCUGACCCAGACAAGAUCCAGGCCAUCCUGCUUUGGCCCAAACCCACCUCCCUCACCACUCUCCGAGCUUUUUUAGGAAUUACCGGGUUUUAUCACAAAUUUAUACGCGGUUAUGCCACUCUUGCCUCUCCACUCACAGAUUUACUAAAAUUCAAAGUUUUUACAUGGAAUGAAAAGGCACAAAAGGCCUUUUUACAAUUUAAGAAAUUCCUAACUACACCCCCUGUACUGCAUCUUUCAGAUUUCUCUCUUCAGUUUGUGGUUGAAACGGAUGCCUCCAAUUCUGCCAUAGGUGCAGUUCUUUCCCAAGCUGGACAUCCCAUUGCUUUCUUCAGCAAGAAGCUCUGUCCCAAAAUGUAGAAUAGUUCAGUGUAUGUCAAAGAAAUGCUUGCAAUCACCGAAGCAGUAAAAAAAUGGAGACACUACCUAAUUGGUACUCAUUUUCAAAUUAUCACAGAUCAAUAAAGUCUUAAGGAGUUACUUACCAAGGCAUGUUCUACACCAGAGCAGCAAAAAUGGGCCACCAAACUCAUUGGGUACAGUUUUGAGAUACUGUACUGCCCAGACCGCCACAAUCAAGCAGUUGAUUUCCUAUCUCGGCCACCCACUUUUGUUUUUUUGGCCAUCUCUUCCCCAAUCCCAGAAAUCCUUAUGUAAUUAAAAACAUAUUACCAAUCAGAAUCUGGGAAACAUGAAGUUCAGAAAGUCACAACUACUCAAAACAGAGACUAUACCUUUCAAAACCACCUUUUGUAUCACGACCGAAGACUUUAUUUGCCAUCCUUAGGAUCUCUGCGGACCACCGUGCUUCACGAGUUCCAUGCCACACCUUCUGCUGGACACUUAGUGAUGGCAUUGAGCUCUUCUCUUUUGUGGUUUUUGGGUGGUUUGCGGAAGCUUAGUGGCUUGUUGAUGGAUCAAGGCCAUCAUAGGAGGUGUGGCUGCCUUGGAGGUACAUGAGAGUAGGGAAAUUGAGGGAGGUUCGGCCAACCCUCUUUGGUAGGUGAAGGAUUGAAGAUUAAGACCGAAAUCUUAGGCAAGGGAGUAAAGUAUGACUCAAGUUUGGCAGCAUAACAAUACUAAAUUAAUCUUACAAAAUGAGAGUCAAGCACCUCCUUAUAUAGGAUUGAAGGGAUGGAAUUUGAAGAGCCAAAUACAAAUGAAAUGCUAGCCAAAUUACAUGCAAGUGUGAGCACAUGGAAGCACAUGGAGCACAUGGCACAUGGGAGCACAUGGGUGUAGUGGCGCCUAAAUAGAGGUAAAUUCUAGAAGUAUUCCUUGUGUGGUUGGUCUAGAAUUUACGCCCAUUAGGUCUAGCUAAUUGGGCCGGUCCUAAGUUUACUUAGAAAUGGUUAUUUCUAAUUAAACUUAGGUUUAACCUUUUAAGUACCACUUUGCAUGUUUCAUCACAUUUACAAAAAGAUUUAAACUAUGCUACUUUAACUAGAAAAGGAAGAAGAACUAUCUCACACUAGAGUCUAUGACAUGUAAAAAUGUCCCUUUGACCCCUGUUUGACUAUGACUCUAGUGAUUGCCUUAAAUGUAGCAUUUUUGUGCCUUUGAUAGGAUUGAUGCUGGGGCCUCUUCCAUCACUCGAGCCUUAAAGCCACCAUGGCUCGCCUAGCCGCGUCCUUCUACUGGCCUGGAAUGUAUAGAGAUGCUAAAUCUUUCAUCAAACAAUGCCUCCCUUGCCAACAAAAUAAACCAAUCAACACCAAACCCUUAGGCCUUCUACAACCCAUUCCCCCACCCACCCAAAUUUGGGAUGAGCUCACCACAGAUUUCAUAACACACUUACCUUCGUCUUUUAGCCACACUGUCAUAUGGGUUGUAUGUGACCGUUUAUCCAAAUCUGCCCACUUCAUAGCACUACCCACCUCCUUCACCACAACCCAAUUGGCUAACCGUUUUUCUGUUGAGAUUUGCAGGUUGCAUGGCGUUGCCAAUUCCAUCAUCUUCGACAGAGACCCACUCUUCCUCAGCUAUUUUUGGAAGCAACUUUUUCACGUACAAGGCACCAAACUGAAAUUUAGCACCGCCUAUCAUCCCCAAACAAAUGGGCAAACAUAAGUCAUAAACAGAGGAUUAGAAAUUUACCUACGUUGUUUCGCAAGUGACCAUCCGAGGACAUGGUACAAGUACUUACACCUUGCCGAGUUUUGGUAUAAUUCUUCCUACCACACCGCCAUUAAUACCACUCCUUUUCAAGCACUGUAUGGGCGACCUCCACCUUCCAUACCAGAUUACAUUCUGGGCACAACAACAGAACCAGCUCUCGCCACCACCUUAGAAGAACGCACACAGAUAAUGCACCGGUUGAAGACCACCCUUGCUCUCACUCAACGUCACAUGGCUCAGAUCGCAAACAAAUCAAGGCGCCAUCACUUCUUCAACGUUAAUGAUUGGGUGCUGUUGCGACGCCAAGCUUACCGACAAUGGUCCCUCUCUUCCGAGCCUCACCAUAAACUCACUCGAAAAUACUAUGGUCCAUACCGCAUCACCAAACGUAUAGGAGAAGUGGCUUACGAACUCGACUUCACUCCCUCGUCUAAAAUCCACUCGGUCUUCCACAUUGUGCUACUUAAACCUUACCACGACAACAAAAAUACCACCUCCCACCACCCGAGUGCCAACCCUCCCAAUUUUUCCCCACCUACCAACACUCAAGACGAUUCAAAACUCAACUCUGAACACUCACAAAACAACUUAACCCCUUCUAACACUUCACUCCCUCACACGGAUUCUUCACCUAACAGCAGCUAGAUUUCCUCUACUAGCGACACGUGUCCACCAUCAAUGGC
rnacentral:lncRNA from 1 species